ACGGGCGGAGUGUACAAGGCCCGGGAACGUAUUCACCGCGGCAUGCUGAUCCGCGAUUACUAGCGAUUCCAGCUUCAUGUAGUCGAGUUGCAGACUACAAUCCGAACUGAGACGUUAUUUUUGAGAUUUGCUCACACUCACAUGCUCGCUUCCCUUUGUUUACGCCAUUGUAGCACGUGUGUAGCCCUGGCCAUAAGGGGCAUGAUGAUUUGACGUCAUCCCCACCUUCCUCCAAGUUCUCCCUGGCAAUCUCUCCAAGAGUGCCCAACCGAAUUGCUGGCUACUGAAAAUAAAGGGUUUCGCUCCUUUCGGGGAAUUUAACCAACAUCUCAACGAACACGAAGCUGAACAAAAACCAAUGCAACAACCU
rnacentral:rRNA from 1 species